CAACAAGGGCGACACUAGCGACAUCUAGUAAUGAGUUUUGAAUCCUAAGUUGGUUACACACAGUCACAGCUCAAAUUAUUGGAGUUCUAUUGUCGGUAGUGGAGUUCUACUGUCAGAUGAUAAAAAUAUUGGGGUUCUAUUACGGAGAUGAUGAGAUAAUUCACCUGAAGUGACUGCCACUCAACACUUUGUAGUGAUCACACCAUUUAGUUUUAAUUUAGGACAAUGUAAGAUUGAUACUUUAUGGCUUGAAAAUUACAUUUAGAUGUUGUUAUAGUUGCUUGGAUAUUGAGGAGAUUGUUGGAAUUGAAGACUAUUUAAGUAGAAUUAGAUAAAUUACAAGAAUAUAUUUCGGUUCUCUUUUUUCAAUGACCCCGGUUCCCUAACUAAUCACCAGUAAUCAACGCCCGUGGUUUAUCAUGUUUCCACUGUGAUAAUCAGAGAGGUGCUGGUCGAACGGGGAUUUGGAGGUUCUCGUAUGUUAAAUUUGUCUAAGAAAUUUAUUAUGGAUACGUUGAAAAUGUUGAUUUUUAUAAGAAUUUUAGAUAUAAUUUUCUUCAUUUUAAUAUUUAUUUACAGUUAAUAUUUAAAAUAUUCAACCUCCAUUCUUAUUCUUCUCAAAAAAGCAGCAAGUUGUUUUCAUCUCUGGUCACAGAAAAUAUGGUUAAACAUGAAAGAAAUUACAGAUGAAAAACAUUCAGUAGCUUUGUUAUCAAGCUCCUAAAUCGGGAAACAUGCUAGUAGUUGUAUUUGUUACAGUUAUUUUCUUUUAUUAAAUAAUAAAUAAUAAUAAAAAAAAUAAUAACGCCAUUUGACACAGGAAACAUCGAUACGGGGUAAAUAUUGACAAAAGGAGUGUGCCAUAACAAAAAACACUCCACAGCAGCUUAUUGACGUACCAUUAAAUUAAAAAACCGCAAGUAGGAUGGUAGUUAGAACUUCACUGCAAUACCGUAUAUGGAACAACCUAUGAAACAAAGUGAAAUGUAAUUCAAUAAAAAUAGACAAGAUUGUAUGCAUAAAUAAGAGGUGCAUUUAACUUUCACAUUAACAUUUCCCGAGAAUAUGAUAGCUGCUACCUUCAAGUCUUCAACAUUUUAUCAGAAAUCCCGUGAAUAAAAUUAAGAUCAAUCCACAAUCGUUCAAGGAUGGUGGACAAAAAGAAAUCUUUGGUCAGGAGAGUCGUCAUACUCAUUUGUGUUUAAAAAUUUCUACCAGCAACUAUUCCAGAUACAAAAUCGUGAGUCUCCCCGCAAAAUCUUACAAUCUCAACCGAGUUACCUUCUAUAGGGAUUCUUCCUGUAGUAAGUAAAAAAAAAACAACUAACCAGGAUGCGAACAGCUAGCACAUUAGAUUGCUCAA